GGAUUGAGGGAGCAUUUUCAAGGGUGAGUCUUCUCACUGACUUCAGCAGACCUUGGAUCAGCCUGUUAGUGCAGUGAGAACAUGCUGGACUGCUCGUGCUGCAUGAAGCUGAUGCUGCUGCCUUCCCACCAGUAGCGGUUCUGUAACGCAGCAUACGCGUCCUCUCUGAAGUGACCUUGCGUUUCUGAGAUGGAAAUGCCUGUGGGCCAAGCUGUAUGUAAAGUAUGUUUGUGCGAGGAACCACGGAAAGACUGACAUGCAAGGCAAAUUUAGUCCUAUUGCAUGUGUUUCAAACUUACGUUGAAAAUAUCGGUGCUUAGCUUUUGUCUUUUUCUUUACAGUUUGCAUGUGCUGGCAUCAUCAAUCUAAUGUCAUUGACUUGAAUGUAUUAAAGUAGGUAUUUACUAGUGACUGUGUCUCUAUAACCCACAGACAUAGCAUCCCAGUGCUAACAACUGUUUAACAAUUAGUACAAAAGCUGUUUUUUGUAAAGUGGUGGAGCAAUUCUUAUGGACAAAAAAAAUGGCUUCUUAUAUCCAGCAGUAAGCGAACUAAUUUUUAGUUACUUUAGACUUUAAUGAUGUCUUCCUGUUCUUGCAAUCUUCUCAUGGCCAUCUUUAAGCUGUACAUAAAAAAUGACACUGAAAUUGACUUUUACAAACUCAUGAUGCAAAUUUCCUCUUCAAAAUCUUAUAUGCAGAUUUGUCCUGCAAGGUUUCAUUAACUAAGAAUUUAUUUAUUAUUCAGGGAAGGGAAAUAUGCUGUAGGAGAAACAAACAGUGGUGUUCUGUUCUAACUAAGCAUAUGGAUUAAUUUUAUAACACAACAAUUAAAAUCUGGUUUGAAAGUUCCAGAAAGGAAAGUGAUAGCAAAAUUAUUUGGUAUUUGUUUACUGAGCAAGCUCCUUAUUCAAGUACUCUGAUGAAUUCUUACAAACAUGCUUCUGAAAUCAUACAAUUUCUAGUUUUUCAGAGGAGUUUUGGCAAAUUCCUGAAGCUGUUGUAAUUACAAUUCAUGUCGCAAAAGUAUUUAAAAGUCAAAGAGAAGGCAGUCUUCAAAAGUAGGUGUGAAAUAUCUAAGAAUUCCUCAAUUUGCUUGUAUUUUGUUCAUCUCGCUGUAAUAAAAAUGUAGAUAGAAGUCUAUAUUAAACUUCUGAUUUUACUCUU
rnacentral:lncRNA from 1 species